UACGGAGGAUGCAAGCGUUAUCCGGAAUGAUUGGGCGUAAAGCGUCCGCAGGUGGCUGUGUAAGUCUGCUGUCAAAGAGUGAAGCUCAACUUCGUAAAGGCAGUGGAAACUACACGGCUAGAGUGCGUUCGGGGCAGAGGGAAUUCCUGGUGUAGCGGUGAAAUGCGUAGAGAUCAGGAAGAACACCGGUGGCGAAGGCGCUCUGCUAGGCCGCAACUGACACUGAGGGACGAAAGCUAGGGGAGCGAAUGGG
rnacentral:rRNA from 1 species